GAUUAAAUGGCUGAAUAUUAGGCAAUAAAUUGUAAAUUUAUUUAUAAGGUGAAUUCCUUUUUAAUCA
rfam:Glossina brevipalpis unplaced genomic scaffold Scaffold18, whole genome shotgun sequence.